AGCAGCAGGAGCAGCAGCAACCCCUCAACAGCAACAUUGUACCCAUCAGCUUUGAGCACCCGCCCCUAUAAACGUCUCUGCACGGCCCUGCCUGGCUACACAGUUCUGCAUAAAGGACUUUGAGGAUGGAGUGGAUGGUUUGAAGUGAAGAAGCACGGUCACUGGAUUAUCACAAGUGAACGGAGUCACACUACUACUGGGAUUCGGGAGAAGAGUACUAUUUGGACUUUGCACCUUUUUUCAUGUUGGGAACUGUAAAUAAAACCGACUAUCUCCAGUCAUCUAGAGCUCCGUCUGAGUCCUCUCUUCCCGCUAACCGUGACAUAGACAGACACACAGUUGAAAACUCUGUCAUGAAUUGGCCUCCGCAGAGCCCAGAGCUCAUCUUACUGAAGCAGUUUAAAUUCUCCUGAUGGAGAGCAGAGCAAAAGACAGCCAGCAUCCAAAGAAGACCUUUGGAACGUCCUUCAAGAAAUUACAAGAACACAUGUCUAAGACAGUUCAGGUUUUGCAGAAAAAUAAAGGUGGCCAUGCCGAUUACUUAUUCAUUGUGAACUAUGUUUUUGUUUUCAUGCUGUAUUUCGAUGUAUCUUUCCAAAUUUCAAUCACUUGCUGCACAAAUUUGCCAUUUUUUCAGUUUCACAGUGAUCUUUAUGCUCCUUUUUAACAAUACAAAACCACAAAAAUAGCAAGUGCGUUAUUAUCAUUGACAGCAUGUACAUUUUAAUUUAUAUUACUACAGGGGAAAUAACAUAUUUAAUGCCUGAGCGUGUGUCUGGCAUAAUAGUAAAAGAUUAAAAAAAAUAUGCUGAAAUAGAUGUGUUUAGGUGAUAUGUGUUUAUACAUCCAUUUGUCACUUAGAACAACAUGUUGCAAUGCAUCGUAGUCUGUUUUGUAAAGGAAACACUGUAAUUAAGAAUAUAAGUCAUUCAAACGUUCUUUGAAGAUAUAAACCCGAUCGAAAUGCUGUGUUUCAUUUCUAAUCAAUAGCAAACAGCUUAUCAGUGUUCACAAGAAGCUGAAAACAACACCUGUAUUCAGUGAUAACAACAGUCAGUGUAACCGAUUCAGUUGGAUUUGGUUUAAAAAGACCAUAAGUAUACCUUUGUUUGAACUUAAUAUUUAUAAAUAUCACUGGUGUGGAAGGAUCUGAUCUUUUGCUGUCAUUUGUUUAAGCUUUAUUAGUUCUUCAUUAUAAGAGUAUGUAUCACCACUUUACCUAGCUCUAUUAGUGGAAAUGUAUGUAUAUUUAUGUA